rnacentral:rRNA from 1 species
GCGACCCCAGGUCAGGCGGGACUACCCGCUGAGUUUAAGCAUAUCAAAAACCCGGAAGGAAA